AUCUAGAUGAUGAGUCCUAAACUGGACGAAAUCCGCGUUGUCCUGGAU
rnacentral:hammerhead_ribozyme from 1 species